ensembl:snoRNA
AAGACUAUGCUUUCAGGGAUCAUUUCUAUAGUUUCUGACUUGGAAGUUUGAUUUGAAAGUGUAACGUCUCUCUAACCACGAUGACGAGUUAAGAUGCUUUCUUCUGAGCGUGAAUCGGGUGGUGAGCGACGAGCGAGAUUGUCUGCUCUCUGUCAUUGAUGAACGUUCCCGCUGUGCUUUGCAGUCUGGAAGAAGAAAGCAUGUUCAGAGUGGUU